rnacentral:rRNA from 1 species
UGGGGAAUUUUGGACAAUGGGCGCAAGCCUGAUCCAGCAAUGCCGCGUGCGGGAAGAAGGCCUUCGGGUUGUAAACCGCUUUUGUCAGGGAAGAAACGAGUUUCUCUAAUACAGAGACUUAAUGACGGUACCUGAAGAAUAAGCACCGGCUAACUACGUGCCAGCAGCCGCGGUAAUACGUAGGGUGCGAGCGUUAAUCGGAAUUACUGGGCGUAAAGCGUGCGCAGGCGGUUAUAUAAGACAGAUGUGAAAUCCCCGGGCUCAACCUGGGACCUGCAUUUGUGACUGUAUAGCUAGAGUACGGUAGAGGGGGAUGGAAUUCCGCGUGUAGCAGUGAAAUGCGUAGAUAUGCGGAGGAACACCGAUGGCGAAGGCAAUCCCCUGGACCUGUACUGACGCUCAUGCACGAAAGCGUGGGGAGCAAACA